rnacentral:rRNA from 1 species
GUAGGAUAGAGGCCUACCAUGGUGGUAACGGGUAANGGGGUGUUAGGGCACGACACCGGAGAGGGAGCCUGAGAAACGGCUACCACAUCCAAGGAUGGCAGCAGGCGCGCAAAUUACCCAAUCCCGACACGGGGAGGUAGUGACAAUAAAUAACAAUACGGGGUUCUUUCGGAUCUCGUAAUUGGAAUGAGUACAAUUUAAAUCUCUUAACGAGGAACAAUUGGAGGGCAAGUCUGGUGCCAGCAGCCGCGGUAAUUCCAGCUCCAAUAGCGUAUAUUAAAGUUGUUGCAGUUAAAAAGCUCGUAGUUGAAUUUCGGGAUCAAUAUGUUGGUCGUGCCUCGGUACGUACUGGCGUCAUUGGUUUCUACCUUCUGAAGAACCUCGAUGUCAUUAAUUUGGUGUCUUGGGAAUCAGGACUGUUACUUUGAAAAAAUUAGAGUGUUUAAAGCAGGCUCACGCUUGAAUACAUUAGCAUGGAAUAAUGAAAUAGGACGUUUGAUUCUAUUUUGUUGGUUUCUAGGAUCGACGUAAUGAUUAAUAGGGAUAGUUGGGGGCAUUAGUAUUCAAUUGUCAGAGGUGAAAUUCUUGGAUUUAUUGAAGACUAACUACUGCGAAAGCAUUUGCCAAGGAUGUUUUCAUUAAUCAAGAACGAAAGUUAGGGGAUCGAAGACGAUCAGAUACCGUCGUAGUCUUAACCAUAAACUAUGCCGACUAGGGAUCGGAUGAUGUUAAUUUUUUAAUGACUCAUUCGGCGCCUUACGGGAAACCAAAGUGUUUGGGUUC